UUUUGGGAUAUGCUAGCUGAUAAUAAUACAUUUAUCAGUGAACAAAAGCUAGCUGAAUGGAUUUACCAAAUAUUAGUUACUCUCGUUUUUUUAGAAUAUAAUCAAAUUUAUCAUGGUAAUGUAAAUGGGUAUUGUAUUUUAUUUAAAGACAUAGAAAAAAAAGAAAUAAGAUUAAGUUUAUUAAGUAAAAGCAAUAUAUAUGAUAACAUUGAUGAAAUAGGUGAUUUAUAUGGUUUAUAUUUUAUCAGAUCACCUCAAGAAAUUCAACAAUCAAAUUAUGAUAAAAACAAUGCUUGGUAUGUAGGUAUGUUAUUAUAUUUUAUUUUAUAUGGUUCUUUUCCGUUUAUGAAUAAUAAUGUUUUGAAGAGUUAUUCAAGCAUAAUAAGAAAUGAUAUUAAUUUAAAUUCUUUAAAAAUAAAAUAUAAUUAUUUAGGUGACAAUAUUUUUAAUUUUAUAAAAAGUGCACUUGAAAAAAAUUAUAACUUGAGGCUUUCCACAAAGGAGCUGAUAGAGCAUCCUUGGAUAAAGGAACGGUCAAACCAUAUAGAAUAUAACAUAAUAGACAAAAACACUAGAAAGUAAUUUUAAUUCUUUAUAUAAAUAUAUUUAUGUAAUUUUUUUUUUUUUUUUCCUACAUAAACGAUAUAUUUUUGCAUGUAUAUAUAUGUGUGUAUUUUGUAAAAUAUAAUUUUUUUUAAUUUUUAUAUCAGUAAAUCACAUCACAUAAAUGCCAACCAUUUUUGUGUAUCAACACGUGCUAUACUUGUUCUCAUGCAGUUUUUUUUUUUUUUUUUUUUUUUUCUUGCCAUUAUGUCAAAAUAUUGUGUAUAUUUUUUUUUUGUUUUUUUAACUACUCUAAAAUAAUGCAGAUCGGCAUAUAAUCAUAUAAAGAUGACAGAACAAAAUAUCAUUGAAUUACUGAAAAAAGCAAGCUCUGAGUGUAAACCUAUAGCUUAAUGAACUUGCAAAGUGACAUAUAAAGUAACCAUUCAAGCAUAGUUGUCAUUAUUUAUUAGAGGAUGUGAUUUAAACAUUUUAUAUAAUUAAUUGUCAAAAUUAUUGUUUUCGUCAUGCAAUUUCAAAAAUAUAUAUAUAUAUAUAUAUAUAUAUAUAACUUUAACGUACUUUUUAAUUGAAUAAAAUUAAGGAGUUUUUUUUUUUUUUUUUUUUU
ensembl:lncRNA